rnacentral:rRNA from 1 species
GAUGAACGCUGGCGGCGUGCCUAAUACAUGCAAGUCGAGCGAACGGACGAGAAGCUUGCUUCUCUGAUGUUAGCGGCGGACGGGUGAGUAACACGUGGAUAACCUACCUAUAAGACUGGGAUAACUUCGGGAAACCGGAGCUAAUACCGGAUAAUAUUUUGAACCGCAUGGUUCAAAAGUGAAAGACGGUCUUGCUGUCACUUAUAGAUGGAUCCGCGCUGCAUUAGCUAGUUGGUAAGGUAACGGCUUACCAAGGCAACGAUGCAUAGCCGACCUAAGAGGGUGAUCGGCCACACUGGAACGGAGACACGGUCCAGACUCCUACGGGAGGCAGCAGUAGGGAAUCUUCCGCAAUGGGCGAAAGCCUGACGGAGCAACGCCGCGUGAGUGAUGAAGGUCUUCGGAUCGUAAAACUCUGUUAUUAGGGAAGAACAUAUGUGUAAGUAACUGUGCACAUCUUGACGGUACCUAAUCAGAAAGCCACGGCUAACUACGUG